UACGAAGGGGGCUAGCGUUGUUCGGAAUUACUGGGCGUAAAGCGCGCGUAGGCGGAUCGUUAAGUCGGGGGUGAAAUCCCGGGGCUCAACCCCGGAACUGCCUUCGAUACUGGCGAUCUUGAGGAUGAGAGAGGCGAGUGGAAUUUCGAGUGUAGCAGUGAAAUGCGUAGAUAUUCGAAGGAACACCAGUGGCGAAGGCGACUCGCUGGCUCAUUUCUGACGCUGAGGCGCGAAAGCGUGGGUAGCAAACAGGAUUAGAUACCCUGGUAGUCCACGCCGUAAACUAUGGAUGCUAGCCGUUGGGAAGCUUGCUUCUCGGUGGCGCAGCUAACGCAAUAAGCAUCCCGCCUGGGGAGUACGGCCGCAAGGUUAAA
rnacentral:rRNA from 1 species